CACGCCCCUGCCCUCGCGUAUUAUCCCCGUCCCCGUCUCUUCUCCGUCCCCGUCUCGUACGAACCCUAUCGAGACAGCGAGCGGCCGGCGGUGGGUAGAGCGACGGCGAGCGGAGCGGCGGCGAGCGGAGCGCUGUGGGAGGGGCGGAGCAUCUUCAAGGCGUGAGGGGAUGGAUCCCGCCUAGCCGCUCCACAUCAGAUCGCCGCAAUUCUUGGAGUACGACCGGCGCCGUCCUCUUUGGAGUACGAUCGGCGCCGCCAUCUACUACGUUUCAUCUUCGCUGCCUGCCGGUCGCUAGCUCUACAUGAUGCUCCAGAUCGGGUCAAACCGCCGAAUAGUUGAAGGAAAUCGUAAGGACUGACUUGUGUUCCUUGAAGAUCACAUGGACAAAAUCAAUAGUUUCCAAGAGUCAUCUUGGUCACAAAAAAUAUUGCUGGAAAUAAUUGUAUGGAAUAUGUAAUUUAUGCCCAACUGUUGCGAAUAAUGUGACUGAAACUUUGUGUUUUAAAUGCUGAUAACUGAUGGAUGUUGACUUUACAGACUUGUUUUAAUGUGUUGCCAUAAAAAUCGAAUCUUUUAUAAGUUACGCUGAGUUUUCUUCAUCGUUGCUUGUUAUGGUGUUAUGAGCUUGUACACAAACCCUGUGUACCAAAUACAUUGUUUUGGAAGCUGCGGAUUGGGGAUUGGUAGAGGAGAGUAUUUGUGGGGAUCGGGUGACAGGUGGGGAUUCACCCAAUCCCCUAGCGGAUUAUCCCCACUAAUCCCCACAAAUACUCCACUACCAAACAA